rnacentral:rRNA from 1 species
UGGUGGGUAGUUUGACUGGGGCGGUCUCCUCCUAAAGAGUAACGGAGGAGCACGAAGGUUGGCUAAUCCUGGUCGGACAUCAGGAGGUUAGUGCAAUGGCAUAAGCCAGCUUGACUGCGAGCGUGACGGCGCGAGCAGGUGCGAAAGCAGGUCAUAGUGAUCCGGUGGUUCUGAAUGGAAGGGCCAUCGCUCAACGGAUAAAAGGUACUCCGGGGAUAACAGGCUGAUACCGCCCAAGAGUUCAUAUCGACGGCGGUGUUUGGCACCUCGAUGUCGGCUCAUCACAUCCUGGGGCUGAAGUAGGUCCCAAGGGUAUGGCUGUUCGCCAUUUAAAGUGGUACGCGAGCUGGGUUUAGAACGUCGUGAGACAGUUCGGUCCCUAUCUGCCGUGGGCGCUGGAGAACUGAGGGGGGCUGCUCCUAGUACGAGAGGACCGGAGUGGACGCAUCACUGGUGUUCGGGUUGUCAUGCCAAUGGCACUGCCCGGUAGCUAAAUGCGGAAGAGAUAAGUGCUGAAAGCAUCUAAGCACGAAACUUGCCCCGAGAUGAGUUCUCCCUGAGACUUAAAGUCUCCUGAAGGAACGUUGAAGACGACGACGUUGAUAGGCCGGGUGU